AUAUAUAAACGAAGCAAACUCACAGUAUAAGUUAAUGGUGUAAAAU
rnacentral:guide_RNA from 1 species